CCUACGGGAGGCAGCAGUAGGGAACCUUCCGCAAUGGACGAAAGUCUGACGGAGCAACGCCGCGUGAGUGAUGAAGGUUUUCGGAUCGUAAAACUCUGUUGUUAGGGAAGAACAAGUACCGGAGUCACUGCCGGUACCUUGACGGUACCUGACGAGAAAGCCACGGCUAACUACGUGCCAGCAGCCGCGGUAAU
rnacentral:rRNA from 1 species